rnacentral:rRNA from 1 species
AUACGUAGGGGGCGAGCGUUGUCCGGAAUGAUUGGGCGUAAAGGGCGCGUAGGCGGCCCGGUAAGUCUGGAGUGAAAGUCCUGUUUUUAAGAUGGGAAUUGCUUUGGAUACUGUCGGGCUUGAGUGCAGGAGGGGGAAGUGGAAUUCCCGGUGUAGCGGUGAAAUGCGUAGAGAUCGGGAGGAACACCAGUGGCGAAGGCGGGUAACUGGACUGCAACUGACGCUGAGGCGCGAAAGUGUGGGGAGCAAACAGGAUUAGAUACCCUGGUAGUCCACACUGUAAACGAUGAAUGCUAGGUGUAAGAGGUAUCGACCCCUUUUGUGCCGGAGUCAACACAAUAAGCAUUCCGCCUGGGGAGUACGGCCGCAAGGUUGAAACUCAAAGGAAUUGACGGGG